rnacentral:rRNA from 1 species
GGCCUAACACAUGCAAGUCGAACGAGAUUAUCCAGCUUGCUGGAUAUGAAAGUGGCGCACGGGUGCGUAACGCGUAUGCAACCUACCUUAAUCAGGGGGAUAGCCCGAAGAAAUUCGGAUUAACACCGCAUAAAAACACAGAAUAGCAUUAUUCAAUGUUCAAAUAUUUAUAGGAUUAAGAUGGGCAUGCGUGUCAUUAGCUAGUUGGCGGGGUAACGGCCCACCAAGGCGACGAUGACUAGGGGAUCUGAGAGGAUGACCCCCCACACUGGUACUGAGACACGGACCAGACUCCUACGGGAGGCAGCAGUAAGGAAUAUUGGUCAAUGGAGGCAACUCUGAACCAGCCAUGCCGCGUGCAGGAAGACGGCCCUAUGGGUUGUAAACUGCUUUUAUCUGGGAAUAAACCUUUUUACGUGUAAGAAGCUGAAUGUACCAGAAGAAUAAGGAUCGGCUAACUCCGUGCCAGCAGCCGCGGUAAUACGGAGGAUCCAAGCGUUAUCCGGAUUUAUUGGGUUUAAAGGGUGCGUAGGCGGCCUGUUAAGUCAGAGGUGAAAGACGGUAGCUCAACUAUCGCAGUGCCUUUGAUACUGACGGGCUUGAAUAAACUAGAGGUAGGCGGAAUGAGACAAGUAGCGGUGAAAUGCAUAGAUAUGUCUCAGAACACCGAUUGCGAAGGCAGCUUACUAUGGUUUUAUUGACGCUGAGGCACGAAAGCGUGGGGAUCAAACAGGAUUAGAUACCCUGGUAGUCCACGCCCUAAACGAUGAAUACUCGCUGUUAGCGAUAUACAGUUAGCGGCUAAGCGAAAGCGUUAAGUAUUCCACCUGGGGAGUACGCUCGCAAGAGUGAAACUCAAAGGAAUUGACGGGGGCCCGCACAAGCGGAGGAGCAUGUGGGUUAAUUCGAUGAUACGCGAGGAACCUUACCCGGGCUUUGAAGUAGUGAAUUAUC